UAGGCAGGAAAUGUAUCAGCAUUGUGCUACACACUCUGUUUUGAAGAGUGCCCUGCAAUAUCAAUCCAGGGGAGAUGGGCAUUUAUGUAUUAAUUUCGGCAAUUAAAAUUGUCAACUCAUCUUCCCAGCUACA